rnacentral:rRNA from 1 species
CACGGACCGCACGACCGUUAUUCGGUAUCACUGGGCUUAAAGGGUGCGUAGGCGGCUUUGCAAGUUGGGUGUGAAAGCCCUCGGCUCAACCGAGGAAUUGCGCUCAAUACUGCCGAGCUCGAGAGAGACAGAGGUAAGCGGAACUAAUGGUGGAGCGGUGAAAUGCGUUGAUAUCAUUAGGAACACCGGUGGCGAAGGCGGCUUACUGGGUCUUUUCUGACGCUGAGGCACGAAAGCCAGGGGAGCGGACGGG